CAGCUGGUGCCUCUGGCAUUGUGGAGAGGAGGUGGGGGAGGGAGCGGGCACCAACAUCCUGGACUCUGGAGCCUGGCAUGAGAGCAGUGCCAUUCCUAGGUUAUAGAUGAGCUAAAUUAGCUGUGACGCUCAUUAGCGGCAGCUCCUAAUUAGUGAAAAUUAAUAUUGGCUUUGAUAAAGACGUCGGCGCCAGCUCUCCAAGGCAGAGGCAUUAUCAUCCUUGUCAGCUGGGCUAACGACUGGACGAGAAAAAUUGAGGCUCAGAGAGGUUGAGGAACUUGCCCUGGGACCUCUGGAUACCAGGAUUUGGGCCCAGGCAGCCUGACUCAAGAGCCAUGAUCCUGACUUUGGUAUUAUCCUGCCCUUCCCUUCAACCUCACCCCCAAAAGGGGCACUCUGGAUGCCAGCCCCAUCGUAUACCAGCACGUAACAUCAUAUCCGGCACACAAACCUGUACUUCCAUUUACAGCCCCUGAGUAAGUCCAGGACAAAGUCUCCAGGCUCUGUAUUCCAGAACACCGCCUCUCCAGUAGGGAAGACUCCGGGAGCAUCCUGCCUUCCCAGGCGGGAAUGGAGGCCAGGAGGCUUUGCCCAGACCUUGACUGUGCUAUUGCCAAGUGACCAGCUCUGGGGCCUGGCUCCUCUGCCACUUGGGAGAGGACUCGGCAGAUGGGCUUCCCUUCACCCCAGUCCCUGCUCCCCAGCCAGAGACCCUGAGUUCCAGCCCAGGGUAAUGAGGGGAAGUAACAGAUACACCUACUUUUAAUCCAAAUAAAGGAAAAAUGUUUGCCACCAUGGAGUUUAUAAAAAUAACAAUGCAUUAUUCGGGUAUUAAUAACAAUAAAGAUGUCAAACUGUCA
rnacentral:lncRNA from 1 species